UACGGGGGGGGCAAGCGUUGUUCGGAAUUACUGGGCGUAAAGGGCUCGUAGGCGGCCAACUAAGUCGGAUGUGAAAUCCCCAGGCUCAACUUGGGAACUGCAUCCGAUACUGGAUGGCUUGAAUUCGGGAGAGGGAUGCAGAAUUCCUGGUGUAGCGGUGAAAUGCGCAGAUAUCAGGAGGAACACCGGUGGCGAAGGCGGGUCUCUGGGCCGAUACUGACGCUGAGGAGCGAAAGCGUGGGGAGCGAACAGG
rnacentral:rRNA from 1 species